ensembl:lncRNA
UUUUUUUUGGCAGCAAAAUUGAUAGAAUCUGGAAGCACUCUGAGAAGAUUAAAAAAAGUUCUCAAAAUCUCCCUCAUAAAUUAGUUUAAGUUCUUAUUCCAGGAUUAUAUGAGAACGGGCCAAAUUUUCAACUGCCAAAGACGUUUACCAGAUCCCUGGCACUUGAUUUAGGAAAACUGGGAAAAAUUUAUUUUUGUGAAAAUAAGUAUUUCUAUCUUAAGUCUGGUUUUGAAGGAUGAAGAAAGUGGGGAAUUAAAUGAACAUUUUUUUUUGAAUACCUGUUCUUGGUCAGGCCCUGUGCCCUGGAUACUUUCAUAUACAUUCUCAUAUAGUCUCACACAGCCAUGUGAGGGGCUGGAAUCCUGUCAAGCAGGGAUUAAAUGAAUUCCCCAAGAUUACUUAAUUUAUGGAUAGUAAAUGGAAUUGAAACCUAGGAUCUCUAAGUUCUGUCCUUUUCACUACCUAUGAGUUUUCUCCUCCUCUGUUGGCUGAAAGAAAUAGACUCAGGCUCUUGGGUUUCUCAUUUUUGUGAUAACUCAAUUGUUACUUCUUCAGGGCAGUCUUCUGUUAACCUAACACUUGUCAGACUUUCCACUCUGACGUACCCUCCUCUUGAAAUUCUUUCAUAAUAUUAUCUUUUGCACCAGACUAUGAACUCGUUGAAGUCAAGGCCAUAUCUGGUUUUGCUUAUUAUAUUCCCAGUGCCUGGUGUAUAGAAGAGACAAUAAAUUAUCUGUUGAAUAGUAGUAUGCAUGAACCUACCCAUAUGCACAAUGGGAAAUACUACUAUAGUCUUUAGUGCAGAUUUUAUAGUGUGAAGGAGUUUGCAAAUCUCAAAUUAUUUGAAUUAUUGAGAAGGGAAAGGGCCAGAAAGUUUGUUCCUCACAACUUAGGAAAAUUUCAACUGAUGCUUUUGUCUUUUUUUUUUUCCUUUUUUUAAAGUCCAUUGUCCACAUUGCUGUUGGAGUGUUCUAAAACACAAAUUUCAAAAACUAUUGUCAGGCUCACUUGUGUCUGGCUACCUCCUUGGGUGGCUUGUAAGCAUGCCCUUCUUUUCUGGCCUUGUUUCCUACUGUUCUCCCUCGCCUUCUGACCACACUUCUGAGAGAUGCCUCGCACUGAUCUUCCAUGAUGCUACUCCUGUCAACUCUCAUUUCCUGAAGAGCUAACUCUGUAAUCCGAGUGACUUCCUCAACCUCCCUAAGCAGUUACUUGCUUUUUGUUCCUAUUGUUCUUUAUACACCAUGUAGAACUUGUAAUCUCCUGACCUCUUGUUUAUUGUCUGCCUCCCUCGUUUGAUUGUUAACACAGAAAAAAGGCCAUGUUGCUCAGUCUUGUAUUUCUCACUUUUGCAUUCCUCCAACAGAACAGCACAGAUUAAAACAAAACUGAAAGCUGGCAUGGUGUCAGCUACCUGUCCGUUUAGAGAAUGGAUUCCUGUGAUAGACCUGAGUUGAUCAGCACUAGUGGUUGGUCUUCAAAUGAUGCCAGGAGGGAAGGAUAUGGACUGCUGCUGUCCACAGCUCCCACACCUUGGAUUUUACCUAGAGGUCUAGGCGUUGAUGACCAGCUACCUUUCUCUAUUUAACCUUUGGUUACAUGUACUGGCCUCACGAAGGACCUCAUACUAGUCAGCUACCUUUCUAGGCCCUUUCCCCUUCCAUCCUCUCCCUUCCUUCUUCUGUGAUCAUCCUUUGCUGACCUGCAUCCCCAGGACUUUGCAUGUCCUUCUAUUGAAUUUGGGGUAUCAGCUUUCCCCCAGUCCUUUAUGGAUUUUGCAUGUAGUUUCCAUGACUCUGAUUCUUAUGUGUAAUUCAUGCACUGUGAUGUUCCUAUUCACAAAGAAUAGGAACAAACUUCUACUAACACAUACUGCUGUUAGACAUUAUCACCAGAUGUUUGGGAAGGCAGGUAAGGAAGUAGUUCUGGGCUGUAAGACUCAGGCCCUCCCAGGAGAGUUAGGAGGAAGUGGGACGUCCUGUUGCUUCCAGUCACUUUAACAGGCUCGGCCUCUCUUGAUGUUUCCCAAGAGUAGUCUGAGGCCACCUCUAUCAGCUUUCACAGGAUGUGACAUCUCUCCUAGCAGCCUAGGGAGUGCUGGUUUUCACGCUAUAUUCCACAAACCCCCUAGACUCCACAAGUCCUGUCAUUCCUCAAACAUUUGACUUGUCUUUAAUGUGGAUCUGUAGUAACUUUAAAAAAUG